AUUGAACGCUGGCGGCAUGCUUUACACAUGCAAGUCGAACGGUAACAGGCCGCAAGGUGCUGACGAGUGGCGAACGGGUGAGUAAUGCAUCGGAACGUGCCCAGUCGUGGGGGAUAACUACUCGAAAGAGUAGCUAAUACCGCAUACGAUCUAUGGAUGAAAGCGGGGGACCGUAAGGCCUCGCGCGAUUGGAGCGGCCGAUGUCAGAUUAGGUAGUUGGUGGGGUAAAGGCGCACCAAGCCAACGAUCUGUAGCUGGUCUGAGAGGACGACCAGCCACGCUGGGACUGAGACACGGCCCAGACUCCUACGGGAGGCAGCAGUGGGGAAUUUUGGACAAUGGGCGCAAGCCUGAUCCAGCAAUGCCGCGUGCAGGAAGAAGGCCUUCAGGUUGUAAACUGCUUUUGUACGGAACGAAACGGCUCUGGUUAAUACCCGGGGCUAAUGACGGUACCGUAAGAAUAAGCACCGGCUAACUACGUG
rnacentral:rRNA from 1 species